rnacentral:lncRNA from 10 species
CCUGAGCCCCUCCGACCUGCCCCACAUCUCUGCAGGGCUAGCCCAGAGGUUGGCGGCGGAAGGCCCACAGCUCCCCUGGCUCCAUGGGCAAUGACCGAACAGCCCUUCACCUCUCUGGGCCUUGUUUUCUCAAACUGAAACUGGAGAGGAUGACCCCAGCCUGGGACCUUCGAGGGCCUCAAAAGGGCUCUGGGCCUUGCGUGACAGAGUCUUGCUGUGUUGCCCGGGCUGGUCUCGAACUCCUGGGCUCAAGUGAUCCUCCCGCCUUGGCCUCCUGAAGGGCUGAGAUGACGGCAUGAGCUGCCUCACGCAGCCCCCAUUCUACACCUCUGAAGUGAGUUUACAUGGUACAGUUGCUGUCUGGCUAGCUGCCGUCCCAACAUCACUGUCAGGACCCACACCUGAAAAGCACCAGCAUCAAAUCCUUCAGAAGAGUGUCAGCAGCUUGGAAGAAAUCCUAG